GGGUCAGUGGGUUGGUCGUGCCACCGGUACGUACUGGUCUCACUGAUUCCUCCUUCCUGAAGAACCGUAAUGCCAUUAAUUUGGUGUUGCGGGGAAACAGGACUGUUACUUUGAAAAAAUUAGAGUGUUUAAAGCAAGCUAACGCUUGAAUACAUUAGCGUGGAAUAAUGAAAUAGGACGAUCGAUCCUAUUUUGUUGGUUUCUAGGAUUGACGUA
rnacentral:rRNA from 1 species